rnacentral:tRNA from 1 species
GGAAGGGUGCCAGAGUGGUUGAAUGGGACUGUCUCGAAAACAGUUAUACCUGCAAGGGUAUCGAGGGUUCGAAUCCCUCCUCUUCCG